GACGAACGCUGGCGGCGUGCUUAACACAUGCAAGUCGAACGGAAAGGCCCUGCUUUUGUGGGGUGCUCGAGUGGCGAACGGGUGAGUAACACGUGAGUAACCUGCCCUUGACUUUGGGAUAACUUCAGGAAACUGGGGCUAAUACCGGAUAGGAGCUCCUGCUGCAUGGUGGGGGUUGGAAAGUUUCGGCGGUUGGGGAUGGACUCGCGGCUUAUCAGCUUGUUGGUGGGGUAGUGGCUUACCAAGGCUUUGACGGGUAGCCGGCCUGAGAGGGUGACCGGCCACAUUGGGACUGAGAUACGGCCCAGAGUCGUACGGGAGGCAGCAGUGGGGAAUAUUGCACAAUGGGCGGAAGCCUGAUGCAGCAACGCCGCGUGCGGGAUGACGGCCUUCGGGUUGUAAACCGCUUUCGCCUGUGACGAAGCGUGAGUGACGGUAAUGGGUAAAGAAGCACCGGCUAACUACGUG
rnacentral:rRNA from 1 species